GCCAUUAACUUGGUGUUGAAUAGAAAAGAUCUCCGGGUAUCGUACAUUAUAACCAAAUUAUUUUCUAAAAAAAUGCUUUGAUCAGAGAUCAUCCAAAUGUUUGCAGCUGUAUUACCUCAUCCCAAGCUGUCAAGGUCGGGCCACCUGGGGACCCCACCUAAGUUAUGGGUGCUCCAGGAAGCACUGAUGACAGCACAGCAGGUGGCAUGCUGCCCUCUGAGUCACAACAGAGAAGUCUGUCACCACUGGGUACUGGCACAGUCCUCUGAUAGAGAUGUCUUUCAGACGAGGCAUAAAACUGACCAUUGGAAACUCUGGAGUGUUUUCUCACCGAAAAGGCCAGGCUCUUCUCAGUGGCAUCAGGACAAGGAACAAUGAUCUAAAACUUGAACAUAAGGAAGUUCCAUACAAACAUGUGGAAAAACUUCUUAACAGUAAAGGUGACAGAGCACUGGAACAGGCUGCCCAGGGAGGAUGUGUAAUCUCUUUCUAUGGAGAUACUCAAGACCUGUCUGGAUGCCUACCUGAGCAACCUGCUGUAGGGUGCCUGCUUUAGCAGGGGGGUUGGACUCAAUUAUGUCUUCAAGACUCUUCUAACCACUGCAAUUCUGUGACUGAGAAAUGAACGCAAUGCUCUGCAUAAGGAAUAUUUGGAAAGGAAACUCUUGAACUGCUAAAAUAGAUGCCAGUGUGAUGUUCAGUAGUUUUCCUGUUCAAGCUUAAUUAGAGGAAUUUGUGAAAAGAGAAAUGAUUCACUAGGAACAGAAAUUUUUACUUUCAAAGUGUUCCAGAGUUUAGCAGUAUUUCAAUAAGUAUUGUUUAAGUCUGGAGGAUACUCAGUGUAAAAAAAAGCUUUGUUUUCCUCUACAUGGAAAAAUGAUUGAGUUUAGGUUUAACUAAUAUAAAACCUAGGCUAAAUUCCUCUCUUCUAAUGAAGUCAGUACCUAAGGGCUCAGAUUUGAAGCUGUAGUUCCUAACUGCGCUGUUAUCAAAUCAUAUAAAUACCUAACUGAGCUCCCUCUCAUGUGCCCAAAUGUACUGUGGUGACUGUGUGCUGAAAGUAAGUCUGAGUGUGUACAGCAAAUCUCAAACUGGCCAUCACAGCUAUUGUAAAUGCUGAAUUUGUUUUGUAGCCCUUCUACUUGCUUCUCUCCCAAAGACUUCGAUACCAUGACACAUUCUACUGAAGUGAGGAGGACAUCUCUGAUUCAGCCCCCGUCCAUGGGGCUGCUGUAUUGUUCUGUCCUCAGUGGGCUGGCCGGUGUAGUGACUGGUAGCUGGCAGGGAGGUGGGAGAAGGUGUCCUUUGCAGCACAGUGGAGCAGCACAGCAGACCCUACAGCCUUCCAAGUCUUCCCUGUCUGCACGUGCUCAUGUCUCCCUAGCUCAGCUCCCUCUCCCUCCCUGAAGUGUGCCCCUCCAAAAAGUAGUAAGUACCUUAGAAGUCUAAAGAUAGAAUAAGCUUAACAAUUCAGAUAUUUGAAAUGAAAAGCUAUAUAACACAUAGCAAGGAUUAUGUGGUACCGAAGGGCUGUCAGUUCUACUGUGCAGAUAAAACAAGCCAAAGGUAGAAGAUAUUUAAAGGGCAGAAUCUGUGUGACCAUCUUUUUGAGGCAGAUUCUUUCUUCUUGCUCUUAUCUGCACCGAGACCUGAUGAGUCUAGUGGAAGAAGGCCAUCAGCACAAAGCAUAAAAGUGCUGGGCCUACUGCUUCUGUGCAGCUGACAGACACAAACAUGCCUUCUGAACAAGUCUGUUGUGGAUAGAACACUUUUAACCCUACCUCCGCAGAAGGGCUUCGCACUAUGCAUCAUUGCUUGUCUCUAUCCAGUUCAAGUUCACAGUGAUAAAUCUAGCUUAUAAGGCACUUACAAAGAUGGGUGUGGUAUGCUGAUAGCAUUCAUGAUUAAGUGCUUUCCUGUGUCAAAUAUAGCCCGUAAUAUACUACAAACAGGCAGUCGAUUUUUAUACAAACUGAUCUGGCUGCUAUCAGACUCUGACAUUUUAUACUAAUGCUUAAAAUAAAUCUAGAAACAGGAAAGAAAGUACAGAAUUAUUGUUUUAAGCAAACUGUGAGGGCUUAUCUUCAAAGUGGCAGAGUUUCUAUUGUAUUUGAAGAAACUGGUCAGUAUACUGGUGUAAAGGUUAGAAGU
rnacentral:lncRNA from 7 species